rnacentral:lncRNA from 1 species
AAAAUAAAAGCAUUGUCGAAUUGAGUUACAAACUAAUAAUAAUUUCAUCAAAGUUUGUAAACCAAAGAUUGUCCUAAUAUCAAAAAGUUUCCAAUAAAACACUUAUGCCAGAUAAUUUAUAGAACCUAGUAAUAUCCAACUGAAUUCUCCCCUGCAAAUAAUUAAAAUUUUCAAGUUAGUCAAUAAGAAAAAACAGCCAUCAAUCAUAAUAAGAAGCAACAGCAAAUUACACUAAAAAAAGGCAGAAAAAAGCACCAAAAUAACAAAUAUAAACAAGAAACAACAAUAAAAAAAAACCCAAAAAUGGCAUAAAAAGAUGCUUAAAGCAGCAAUAAAUUUAUAAAAAAUACCCUAAAAUAGCAAUGAAAAUUGCUUUAAAAAGCAUUAAAAAAUCCAAAAACAAUAGUAAACAUGCCUAGAAAUAGUAGAAAAAAACCCCCUAAAAUAGCAAGAAAACUGCCUAAAACAAGAAAAAAAAUCUAGCAGCAAAAUCUUCCAUUGCCAGAUAAAGCUAUGAAAGAAAAGAAAUAAAAUUCAUAAAGAGUCAAAGCUCACAUACUAACCACUUGCUAGAAAUUAAGCUAUAAAUCCCAAAUUUUUACACAAAUUAGUAUCUGAAACAAGAUUGGUUUGAUAUAUGAUAGUCAAGUAAAAUACCUAUAAAGUAGUACAAAUUCAGCAAACCUAAUGGCUUCACUCCACUCAUUUUCUUAAGACUUCAGUGAUGAGAAGCUGCCAACAGAAUGAUAAAUUGAGGUUUGAUAGGAAGCACACAAACUAAACAAGAUACAUAACAAAUUUGUUAUCCAUGUUACACCCUAGAACCAUUUCUAGGAAUAUUUGUUAGAAUAGCCACCAUAACAGUUGAUGAGCAACAUAAAACAGAGACAACAACAAAACCAGCAACCUGCAAAGUGCCAAUUCUUCCAUAAUUAAAUCAGAUACACAAUAGAAAUAAUUUACUAUUAAAAUCCCAAAUUCAUUUUAUCUUCUUCCUGCAUUUUCUCAUCAAUCAAACAUAAAAGAGAGCUCCUAUCGACACAUGCAAACAGCACCCACCAUCUUGUCACAUGCAAACACAACCCAAUAUCACAAAAGUUAAUUUUCCAGAUUUAGUUAACCAAAGAAAAUAUACCAUCAACUGGAUCACCUUAUAAAUCAAAUACAAUUCCACGAUAUUACCAACCUCCCAAAAAAAAAAAAAGGCACAAACUUUAAAAUGAAAACAACAAGACCAUGAAAAAUAAGCAAAAGUGGGUAUUUAAAUCAAACAUGAUAGAAUGCAACAAAAGCAAAAAAGCUUUCGAUAGAAGCCAGAGCCAGAUGGGGUACAAGCAAGCUAGGAGGUACCAAUUAAAGAUGCUUCAUUCAAGAACAGAAAAGCUACAAGAAUGAUAAAAGUAGAAAAAAUGAAACAAUAAACAGAAAAUUGGGUGAAAGCUGCAACAAUAGUUUCAAUCACUUAACAGUAUCAACAAACUUAUAGUAAACUUUAAGAACUAGAUGUUUAAGCCACAGAUAACGGGGACGUACCCAUGAGGAUAAAGACACAAGCGUGAGACCAGCAAAGCCGCCCAUCCUUAACUUGUGCAGCAGACAAAGUCGAAUGAAAAAGGAGGCAACGACGGUAGCGAUGGAAACAGCUGGAUCGGAAGCGAACAGCUCAAGAUGAAAGCAACAAGUUAAUGGAUUGGAUUGUGUGCGCGAGAUGUGGCUUCGAUUUUAUUUGAUUAGUCAAGAAAUCGAAGAGAGAAAUUAGAGAGAAAUUUGUGAUUUCUAAGAGAGAGGCAAGAAAUUGAGAGAUAUUGGGCACGAUUGAAACACCUAAAUUAUAAAAAUAUAAAUUUUGCAGCCUUUGGGAACUGGUUGCUUCGGUUGCCCUUUUUUUGUUUUUUUUUUUAAUUUCUUUUCAAUGUCAGCCGUUGGAUUCAUUUUACUUGAAUCCAACGGCUGCGUUUACAAGCCGGCACGAUGCCGGGCCUCAAUGCCCGACAUUGUAGCUUUAGCC